rnacentral:lncRNA from 1 species
UUUUAAUAUACUUAAUUUAAUGAAGUAAUGUAUUGCACAAGUGCAAUCUGAACAAUAAUUCUCUUUUGUGUUAAAAAAUCAUAUUAAGCAAUGCCGAAUACCAUAACUAUAUGUGAAAGCCUUGUGGAUCUAGAAACCAAGAGUAUAUGGAUAUAGCAUACUCUCAAUUUUUAAAAUGGGGCUGUUAUUAUAGGACACAUUUUCUCAUGACAUUGCAUAAGUCUCAUAUCACAAAUAUCCUUUUUGUUAUUUCAGAACCAAAUGUAAGUAUUUGUAAAAUAUAAAAUUAUUUUAAGUCACUGUGAUAAAUUUGAAUUCACCACUAAAGAAUCACAAACCAUUUCUCCAAUAAAUGAUAGAAGAUAACUCCAAACAAUUUUGAAUAAGCGAAUCGUCUGUUGAGCACUAUCUAUUGAAGCAAGGUGUUUAUAUUGGUAUAUGAAGGUAUUCUUUCAAUGAUUUCUGGAUAUAAUUCAAUAUGUAGUCUUCUUCUCUCUGGGCCCCUCAUCUUGGAGCCCUUGGGAGAUGGAUUAUCUGCCUUGUAUGGACUGAAUGUUUGUGUGUUCCCCUCAAAAUGAAUAUGUUGAAUCUCUUACUCCCAGUGUGAUGGUAUUAGGAAGUGAGGCCUUAACAAAGUAAUUAGGUUUCAACUAGGCCAUAAAGGUGGAGCGCCUAUGAUGGGACUAGUGCCCCUAUCAGAAAAAGAGACACUGGAGCUCUCUCUCUUUACCAUAAGAGGAUACAGCAAGAAGGCAGCCAUUUGCAAGCCAGAAAGAGGGUUCUCACCAGAACCCAACCUUGCUGGUAUCCACAUUGGAUGUGUGCUGGACCUCACAGCCUCUAGAAUUGUGGGAAAUAAAUGUUGCUGUUUAAGCCAACAUUUUGUUAUAGCAGCCCCAAACUGACAGGCAUUAUCCCAAAGCCAAUGUUCUCUGUGGGCUGAUACAAUACAAUAAAAAUUGAAUACUUUAAAUAUUGAAGCAAAAUUAUGGCUAAAGCGCUAUAUAGUUUUCACAGCACGAAAAAAUAAUCAACACAAUUGUUAUUAGAGGUCUUGUGUUAUGUUUCUGUUGUUAUUAGAGGUCUUGUGUUAUGUUUCUGUUAUUUGCUACAAGUGAGAUUUCUCCCAUCAGUAGAGUCACUGGUGACCUAGGGUGGCUACCUCAUUGAGUUUUGGUAUGAAUUCAGUGAGUUUCCCCUUGUACAGCAUUGAGUACAGCAUUCAUCCCACAGUAACAGCUCAAUAAAUGUUCAUGAUUUUAUUAUCACUAAAUCAAAAUAAAUGCCAAUUGCACUAACAUUUUUUAGUUCACAUUUUAUUUACAUAGCAUAAAACUCACCUAUUCAGUAAUUCCCCAUAACUGAACUUUUAAAAGACCCUCAUUGUUUAGAAUAGAAGAUAAAUAAGACCUUAAUUCACUUAUUUGCAAAAAAUUUUCACAGCUACUUUUGAUUGACUCCUGGACUUAAGCACGAACAGAAAUGUGUCCUGAAGAGAAUUGUCUUCCCAGUGAAGAUCCAGCCAAAGUUUGCCAACCGCUUAUGACAUUCUAUUUGAAUCUAGUAAUAACUCAUGAACAAGAAUCCACUUUCACAACCCAAGAAAUAUUAUUAGAAUAAAGUUCAUGGGGCCUUAUUGUGUGCCCUAUUUAAUUUCAUAUCCCACUCUGUGCAAGAAAUUCGGAGGGCAUGGGCUAAUGGAAACACAAAGGUCUUGGUCAAAUGGGCGACCAGGCUCCAUUAACUGUUUUUAAAGAUAUCUAAAAUUUUAGGAAGAUGUGGAGGGGGAAUGUGAAAAGCUGUGAUUUCCCUUUAUAACAAUGACAGAGAAAAGAAAACAAUGGACAUAACAGUGAACCUUUGCUCAUUUAACCUUAGCCAAGUGAAAUCAAAUAUAGAAAAUAUGUGUGUGCUAUAGUGAAUGACACAACAAUACUAAUUAAAUUCAAGAGGAUUGAACUGAACAAUCCAGGUCACUUUAAUCAAUUUAGGUCAUUACAGCAAAUGUAUUCUUUCCCGUUAUUUCGCACACUACCACCUAGUAACUACACUCAGCAAUUCAGUCUUACCGUCUAAUUAUAAAAGCUCACAACCUUUGCUUUGGCAGCAAAGGCAAAGAGAGGAAGGUCUUCUCCAAUCCCUCAGAGCGUAGGGAUGUGACAUUUGCCCAUGGGCAUUGUGUUUACAGAGACUUUUCCCCUUUCGACUCUCAUUUCAGUUACAUCAUACAUAAGUGUCCUGAGGUAACUGGACAGUAACAGAAAAUCAAAUGCCAAAUAAAUCUGAACAAGAGCUUAUUCAUUCAAAUACAACCUUGGGAUUUUCACAAGCUAUUUUCCUUCUCUUUAUUCCUUUUUACUUUUAGGGAGACUCCAUGCAGGGCUUGAACUCAUGACCCUGAGAUCAAGACCUGAGCUGAGAUCAAGAGUUGGACGUUUAACUGACUAAGGGGCAACGCAGGCGCCCCUCCUUCUCUUUAUUUCUUUUAAACAACCAUGAAAAGUUGUAACUAUAGGGAGGUAACAAGAUAGCAUAUAAAUUAUAAUCCUGAUUUUGUGAACAAAUAAAAGCAUGCAUACAGAACAUAUCAUAAAUACACAGAGAAAAAGAUUAGAAAUACAUAGACCAAAAUGUUCACAAUGGUUGUCUCUGGGGAGUGGGACUGGAGUGAUCAUUUUCUUCUUUUCAUGCUUUUUUGCCUUUCCUCAAUCCUACAUUGUUGCCCUGAGCCCUCCAUUAUCCAGCCUUGUGUUAACAUGGCAACCAUGGAAAACUUGCUUUUUCAUAUGCUAAGAAAGAUUAACAACUCAUGAUAACCCACAACAACAACCAUCAAAAGUUCACAGAAACUCCUCUGUGCCAGGAGAUGGAGCCUGCCUUGUUCCAUGGCUGCACACUCAAAUCCCAACAUUAUCCUCACACAGACAGGCCUUGUGAGAAGCCUCUUGGGUUUGUUUUCAAGAAAAACAAGAUGUUGGGGAGUAGGAUGGAGUGGGUGGGAAAAUCAGAGGAAGGUGUUCUGAAGGUACAAACUUCCUGUUUAUAAGUACUAGAGAUAUAGUGUGCAACAUGACUGUAGCUACCACUGCUGUGUGGUAUACUUGAAAGUUGCUAAGAGAAAAUCCUAAAAGUUCCCACCACAAGGAAAAAACAUUUUUUGUAACUAUGUGAGGAGACAGCUGUUAACUGAACUUAUUAACAAUGCUGUAAUCACUUUGCCACACAGGUAUUAUACUGUAUACAUCUUAAACUUACACAAAGCUAUAUGUCAAUCUAUCUCAAUUAAACUGAAAAAAAAUAGAAAGUUGAUUCCAUAUGCAUAAAAUGCAUAAAGUUGGUUCUUGCGAAUAAAAAAAAAAAAAAAAAAAAA